rnacentral:rRNA from 1 species
AUGGAGCGUAUGGCGACGUCCUAUUUCAAGGAGGUUUACACGAAGGAUCCGACCUUAGUGCUAGAGGAGGUUCUUGCUGGGAUACUGCCCAGGGUAACACAACAGAUGAAUGAUUCUUUAUGUGCUCCGUUUUCUGAAGAAGAAGUUUCGAAUGCUCUGUUUGAGAUAGGUCCCUUGAAAGCUCCGGGAACGGAUGGCUUUCCGGCCAGAUUUUAUCAAAGAAAUUGGUCAUCUCUGAAUGUUGAAAUUAUUGCUGCUGUGUUGGAGUUCUUUACGUCAGGAUCAAUGCCAGAGGGAGUGAAUGACACGGCGAUUGUUUAG